rnacentral:rRNA from 1 species
AUUGAACGCUGGCGGCAGGCCUAACACAUGCAAGUCGAGCGGAUGAAGGGAGCUUGCUCCUGGAUUCAGCGGCCGACGGGCGAGUAAUGCCUAGGAACCUGCCUGGCAGCUGUGUAUAACGUCCGGAAACGGGCGCUAAUACCGCAUACGUCCUGAGGGCGAACGUGGGGGAUCUUCGGACCUCACGCUAUCAGAUGAGCCUAGGUCGGAUUAGCUAGUUGGUGGGGUAAAGGCCUACCAAGGCGACGAUCCGUAACUGGUCUGAGAGGAUGAUCAGUCACACUGGAACUGAGACACGGUCCAGACUCCUACGGGAGGCAGCAGUGGGGAAUAUUGGACAAUGGGCGAAAGCCUGAUCCAGCCAUGCCGCGUGUGUGAAGAAGGUCUUCGGAUUGUAAAGCACUUUUGGUUGGGAAGAAGGGCAGUAAGUUAAUACCUUGCUGUUUUGACGUUACCAACAGAAUAAGCACCGGCUAACUUCGUG